UGAGCAAUCUGCCCUUCUCUUCGGAAUAAGCGUUGGAAACGACGUCUAAUGCCGAAUACGACCUCCUUUCGCAUGAUCGGAGGUGGAAAGCUCCGGCGGAGAAGGAUGAGCUCGCGGCCUAUCAGCUAGUUGGUGUGGGUAAUGGCCCACCAAGGCGACGACGGGUAGCCGGCCUGAGAGGGUGACCGGCCACACUGGGACCGAGACACGGCCCAGACUCCUACGGGAGCAGCAGG
rnacentral:rRNA from 1 species